GUGCUCGCUUCGGCAGCACAUGUACCAAAAUUAGAACGAUACAGAGAAGAUUAGCAUGGCCCCUGUGCAAGGAUGGCAUGCAAAUUCGUGAAGCGCUCCAUAUUUAA
rnacentral:snRNA from 1 species